UACGUAGGUGGCAAGCGUUGUCCGGAUUUACUGGGCGUAAAGAGCGCGCAGGCGGUCGAAUAAGUCGAAUGUGAAAGCCCCCGGCUCAACUGGGGAGGGUCAUUCGGAUACUGCUCGACUUGAAGGCAGGAGAGGGUAGUGGAAUUCCCGGUGUAGUGGUGAAAUGCGUAGAUAUCGGGAGGAACACCAGUGGCGAAGGCGACUACCUGGCCUGUUCUUGACGCUGAGGCGCGAAAGCCAGGGGAGCAAACGGG
rnacentral:rRNA from 1 species